UGGGGAAUCUUCCGCAAUGGACGAAAGUCUGACGGAGCAACGCCGCGCGAGUGAAGACGGCCUUCGGGUUGUAAAGCUCUGUGAUUCGGGACGAAAGGCCAUAUGUGAAUAAUAUAUGGAAAUGACGGUACCAUAGAAGAAAGCCCCGGCUAAUUACGUGCCAGCAGCCGCGGUAAUACGUAAGGGGCGAGCGUUGUCCGGAAUUAUUGGGCGUAAAGAGUGCGUAGGCGGCAAAUUAAGUCAGAUGUGAAAACUAAGGGCUCAACCCAUAGAUUGCAUCUGAAACUGAUAUGCUUGAGUCAAGGAGAGGAAAGUGGAAUUCCUAGUGUAGCGGUGGAAUGCGUAGAUAUUAGGAGGAAUACCGGUGGCGAAGGCGACUUUCUGGACUUGAACUGACGCUGAGGCACGAAAGCGUGGGGAGCAAACAGG
rnacentral:rRNA from 1 species